rnacentral:rRNA from 1 species
UAUUGAGCUGAAAUAUCCCGAUGGCACCACAUCCCACCUCAUCUUGGAAGCUAAGCAGGUUUAGGUCCAGAUAGUACUAGGAUAGGGGACCUCCAGGGAAUACCUGUU